UGAAAUGUUGACCUCGGAUCAGGUAGGAAUACCCGCUGAACUUAAGCAUAUCAAUAAGGCGGAGGACUU
rnacentral:rRNA from 1 species